UACAGAGGUCUCAAGCGUUGUUCGGAUUCAUUGGGCGUAAAGGGUGCGUAGGUGGCGGGGUAAGUCAGGUGUGAAAUUUCGGAGCUUAACUCCGAAACUGCAUUUGAUACUGCCUUGCUUGAGGACUGGAGAGGAGACUGGAAUUCACGGUGUAGCAGUGAAAUGCGUAGAGCUCGUGAGGAAGACCAGUGGCGAAGGCGGGUCUCUGGACAGUUCCUGACACUGAGGCACGAAGGCCAGGGGAGCAAACGGG
rnacentral:rRNA from 1 species